UACGAAGGUCCCAAGCGUUAUCCGGAUUUAUUGGGUUUAAAGGGUGCGUAGGCGGGCUAUUAAGUCAGUGGUGAAAGCCCCAAGCUUAACUUGGGAACUGCCAUUGAUACUGAUGGUCUUGAGUACAUUUGAGGUGGGCGGAAUGUGUCAUGUAGCGGUGAAAUGCUUAGAUAUGACACAGAACACCGAUGCGAAGGCAGCUCACUAAACUGUAAACUGACGCUGAGGCAACGAAAAGCGUGGGGGAGCGAAACAGGGAUUAGAACCUACCGUAGUC
rnacentral:rRNA from 1 species